GUAGGGGGCGAGCGUUGUCCGGGAUUUAUUGGGGCGUAAAGAGCUCGUAGGCGGUUGCGUAAGUCGGAUGUGAAAACUCAGGGGCUCAACCCUGAGAUGCCAUUCGAUACUGCGCUGACUAGAGUCCGGUAGAGGAGCAUGGAAUUCCUGGUGUAGCGGUGAAAUGCGCAGAUAUCAGGAGGAACACCAGUAGCGAAGGCGGUGCUCUGGGCCGGUACUGACGCUGAGGAGCGAAAGCAUGGGUAGCAAACAGGAUUAGAUACCCUGGUAGUCCAUGCCGUAAACGUUGGGCACUAGGUGUGGGACCUACUUAACGGGUUCCGUGCCGUAGCUAACGCAUUAAGUGCCCCGCCUGGGGAGUACGGCCGCAAGGCUA
rnacentral:rRNA from 1 species